rnacentral:rRNA from 1 species
GAUGAACGCUGGCGGCGUGCUUAACACAUGCAAGUCGAACGGAAAGGCCCUGCUUUUGUGGGGUGCUCGAGUGGCGAACGGGUGAGUAACACGUGAGUAUCCUGCCCUUGACUGUGUGAUAACUUCAGGAAACUGGGGCUAAUACCGGAUAGGAGCUCCUGCUGCAUGGUGGGGGUUGGAAAGUUUCGGCGGUGGGGGAUGGACUCGCGGCUUAUCAGCUUGUUGGUGAGGUAGUGGCUUACCAAGGCGUUGACGGGUAGCCGGCCUGAGAGGGUGACCGGCGACAUUGGGACUGAGAUACGGCCCAGACUCCUACGGGAGGCAGCAGUGGGGAAUAUUGCACAAUGGGCGGAAGCCUGAUGCAGCAACGCCGCGUGCGGGAUGACGGCCUUCGGGGUGUAAACCGCUUUCGCCUGUGACGAAGCGUGAGUGACGGUAAUGGGUAAAGAAGCACCGGCUAACUACGUG